rnacentral:tRNA from 1 species
GGGCAAUUAGUUCAACUGAAUAGAACAGAAGAUUACGGCUCUUCAGAUGGGGGUUUGAGUCCUCCAUUGCCCUCUA